AAAAAGGGUGUUUACCUGCUAAAUGGCACGCAGUCUCUCUGGGGCUGUGCAGAAUCGCUAGCAAGAGAUUCUGGACACAUAAUUUUUGGAAACGGGGGCUGCUGAUUGCCAUUGCAUUUGGCGCCUCU